CCUGAAGAAGAAUAUAGGAUGGCUGAUCUAUCUUCAGCAUUGUAUACAGUAAUUGUAUUGUCUGCGCAAUGACUUUUAUGACAUAUUGGAAAAGCUUUGGGCCAACUCUCAGGCCGAGCAGCUCCG